UAGGGAAUCUUCCGCAAUGGGCGAAAGCCUGACGGAGCAACGCCGCGUGAGUGAUGAAAGUCUUCGGAUCGUAAAACUCUGUUAUUAGGGAAGAACAAAUGUGUAAGUAACUAUGCACGUCUUGACGGUACCUAAUCAGAAAGCCACGGCUAACUACGUGCCAGCAGCCGCGGUAAUACGUAGGUGGCAAGCGUUAUCCGGAAUUAUUGGGCGUAAAGCGCGCGUAGGCGGUUUUUUAAGUCUGAUGUGAAAGCCCACGGCUCAACCGUGGAGGGUCAUUGGAAACUGGAAAACUUGAGUGCAGGAGAGGAAAGUGGAAUUCCAUGUGUAGCGGUGAAAUGCGCAGAGAUAUGGAGGAACACCAGUGGCGAAGGCGACUUUCUGGUCUGUAACUGACGCUGAUGUGCGAAAGCGUGGGGAUCAAACAGG
rnacentral:rRNA from 1 species